rnacentral:rRNA from 1 species
GUCCACGCCCUAAACUAUGGAUACUCGACAUUUGCGAUAAACUGUAAGUGUCUGAGCGAAAGCAUUAAGUAUCCCACCUGGGAAGUACGAUCGCAAGAUUGAAACUCAAAGGAAUUGGCGGGGUCCGCACAAGCGGUGGAGCAUGUGGUUUAAUUCGAUGAUACGCGAGGAACCUUACCUGGGCUAGAAUGUCAGUGGACCGUGGGUGAAAGCUCAUUUGUUAGCAAUACACCGCUGAUAAGGUGCUGCAUGGCUGUCGU